GAUGAACGCUGGCGGCGUGCCUAAUACAUGCAAGUCGAGCGAAUGGAUUAAGAGCUUGCUCUUAUGAAGUUAGCGGCGGACGGGUGAGUAACACGUGGGUAACCUGCCCAGAAGACUGGGAUAACUCCGGGAAACCGGGGCAAAUACCGGAUAACAUUUUGAACCGCAUGGUUCGACAUUGAAAGGCGGCUUCGGCUGUCACUUAUGCAUGGACUCGCGGCGCAUUAGCUAGUUGGUGAGGUACCGGCUCACCAAGGCAACGAGGCGUAGCCGACCUGAGAGGGUGAUCGGCCACACUGGGACUGAGACACGGCCCAGACUCCUACGGGAGGCAGCAGUAGGGAAUCUUCCGCAAUGGACGAAAGUCUGACGGAGCAACGCCGCGUGAGUGAUGAAGGCUUUCGGGUCGUAAAACUCUGUUGUUAGGGAAGAACAAGUGCUAGUUGAAUAAGCUGGCACCUUGACGGUACCUAACCAGAAAGCCACGGCUAACUACGUGCCAGCAGCCGCGGUAA
rnacentral:rRNA from 1 species